rnacentral:snRNA from 2 species
AGCUAUGCAAUGAGCACAAAGCGAACUAUUCUUUCGCCUUUUACUAAAGAAUACCGUGUGCUCGUUGCUCUAAAAUAGCAUAUGCCUAUUUUUGGAGAGUUUUGGAGAGCUU